UGGGGCGUGGCCUGCGGGGCCGGCCCGUGUCCGUCUUACGUAGCCUGGGCGGUGGCGGUGGGCUCCUGGUCCGGCGAGGGGCCUUCGGCGGACGAGGUGGCGGUGGCAGCGUGGGGGCAGCUCGGGACCCACAGCCCUCCUCCCCUCCAGCACCUGCAGGAUCUGCUGCUGCUCUGGAGAGGCCCGGAGCAGACACUGGACCACCAGCCAGCUGCAUUUGUUCUCCUGGAUGUCAGUGCCAAUCUUGCCCGUCACACUGGGGUCCCCAAAGAGGUCGAGCAGGAUCUUCCUGGCACUGCUGUGCUCCUUCUCCCCGUCGAUGCCCGCCUGGCGAGGGGAUGAAAAGGAAAGUUGGAGAAGCAAGGGCAGGGAAGGCAAUGAAUACCACUGCCGCCCGUGAAUGCUGCCUGAAUUCUCUCCUCCCGACUCCUGUCCACAGGCAGAUGGAGGAUUUCUUGUUCCCCUGGGAUGGGCCGACCACUUUCAUGCCACAUGCCUCAGUGAACCUUUACAACAAUCCUGUGAGGAGGGCGCAGCUCACAGUGGCCCGUGUGGGGAUCGAAUCGGCAACCUUGGUGCUACCAGCACCACGCUCUAAGCAACCGAGCUAACCUGUCAGUGCCUGGGAUUCCAGUCUUUGUAAGAGACCCCACAGAGCUGCCUGGCCACACCCACCACAAGAAGAUACAGCGAGCAGGUGCCAGCUCUGAACCAGGAAGCCGGCCCUCACCCCCCCACGCUGGUGCCUUGACCCUGGACGUCCCAGCCUCCAGAACUGUGAGAACCAAAUUUCUGUUGUUUAUAAACCACUCAGUCCCCGGUAUUUUGUUGCAGCAGUCCACACAGCCUAAGGCAGAUGUAAUAAAGGUACUGUGGUUAUAUAGGCAAAUAUCCUUGUUUUUCGGAGGUAAACACUGAAACCGAAAAAAGAAGAGGUUGAAGGAGAUGAGGCAGAAGUAGAAAGACAAUAGAAGCAGAGAUUAGAACUAAAAUCGCCCAAGGAAAAACGGCAGUGGACAGCUCAAAUGGCAGCGGGGAGAUAUGAUAGCAUUCCAGCCGUGUUUUCCAAAAAAAACACCACUCCCAGGUGAACCCAGGUGCCAGCAGGGUUGACAACUGACUCUACAGGUGAGCUGCUGGCCCUCCAGGUCUCCCUUUCCAUGGCCGCGCAGCUCUGCUCCUCUCCUCCACCCCUCCUUCCUUCUUCACCAGUCGCCUCCAUGUUUAUGGGCAUCUCAGCCCGUCCUGAUUCCUACAGGGACCCUCUGUCCCCCGGGGCCCUGUCCCUCAGGGAUGCCGUCGUCCCUUUACCUCCUUGGAGGCAAAUCCCCUUCUCCAGCCCCAUGUCGCAAGCUCGUCUGGAAUUUUCCACACCCACAGGACAGACAGCUCUACCAGCUCCAGCAGGACCGUGAGUGCCGUGCUGCUCCGUCUGAUCUCGUCACCACUCCCUCCGGAGCCAGUGGCUCCUUUCCUGGGCGAGGCACCUCACUACCACCUAUCAUCCACCAAAUCCUGAGCGGCUCAUUGCCACGCUUCAGGGCAUGGCACCCGCCCAGGAUUCACUGCCUCCGUUACUAAUGAAAGCUUGAGGCCAGGCCACCAACUAUCAGUGGGCCUCCUGUUUCCAAUCUCUGCUCUAGAAUAAUCUUCUGGAAGAACUAUGUCCCUUUGCUCAGAGGAGAGGUGACACGUCUAUGCCCAGUUCCAAGGCCCUGGCCCACAGGAAGCCUGCAGGUGAAAUGUGUACCUACUGGCAAGAGUGUCUGUUAGCCCGUAGGUAAUUCAUUGUGUAAAUUCGGCCGCAGCACCCAAGAGGCACAGAAACAUAAAUAACCCAGAAACGAGUUUCAGGCCCAUCCUUCCCGCUCCCACCCAGGGCACCCCCACCAGGAA